AUUGAACGCUGGCGGCAGGCCUAACACAUGCAAGUCGAGCGAGCGGCGGACGGGUGAGUAAUGUAUGGGGAACUGCCCGAUGGAGGGGGAUAACUACUGGAAACGGUGGCUAAUACCGCAUACCAUCGGAUGUACCCAUAUGGGAUUAGCUAGUUGGUGGGGUAAAGGCUCACCAAGACGACGAUCUCUAGCUGGUCUGAGAGGAUGACCAGCCACACUGGGACGGAGACACGGCCCAGACUCCUAGGGGAGGCAGCAGUGGGGAAUAUUGCGCAAUGGGGGCAACCCGGAUGCAGCCAUGCCGCGUGAAUGAAGAAGGCCUUCGGGUUGUAAAGUUCUUUCGGUAGGGAGGCGUUAACUACAGAAGAAGCACCGGCUAACUCCGUGCCAGCAGCCGCGGUAAUAC
rnacentral:rRNA from 1 species